UUUCGCAAUGCCCGAAAGGGUGACGAAGCGACGCCGCGUGUGGGAAGAAGGCCUUCGGGUUGUAAACCACUGUCGGGAGUUAAGAAAUGCAAGGAUAUUAAUAGUGUCUUUGUUUGACUAAGGCUCCGGAGGAAGCCACGCCUAACUCUGUGCCAGCAGCCGCGGUAAUACAGAGGCGGCAAGCGUUGUUCGGAAUUAUUGGGCGUAAAGAGCACGUAGGCGGCUAUGUAAGUCGGUUGUGAAAGCCUUCCGCUCAACGGAAGAACAGCAUCCGAUACUACAUGGCUUGAGUGCGGGAGGGGAGAGUGGAACUUCUGGUGGAGCGGUGAAAUGCGUAGAUAUCAGAAGGAACGCCGGCGGCGAAAGCGGCUCUCUGGCCCAUAACUGACGCUGAGUGUGCGAAAGCUAGGGGAGCAAACGGGAUUAGACACCCCGGUAGUCCUAGCCGGAAACGAUGGGCACUAAGUAGAGGGGUUUU
rnacentral:rRNA from 1 species